AGUGGGGGAUAACGUAGCGAAAGUUACGCUAAUACCGCAUAUUCUGUGAGCAGGAAAGAGGGGGAUCGCAAGACCUCUCGCUUUCGGAGCGGCCGAUGUCGGAUUAGCUAGUUGGCGGGGUAAAGGCCCACCAAGGCAACGAUCCGUAGCGGGUCUGAGAGGAUGAUCCGCCACACUGGGACUGAGACACGGCCCAGACUCCUACGGGAGGCAGCAGUGGGGAAUUUUGGACAAUGGGCGCAAGCCUGAUCCAGCCAUGCCGCGUGAGUGAAGAAGGCCUUCGGGUUGUAAAGCUCUUUCGGCUGGGAAGAAAUCGCAUCUCCUAAUACGGGGUGUGGAUGACGGUACCAGCAUAAGAAGCACCGGCUAACUACGUGCCAGCAGCCGCGGUAAUACGUAGGGUGCGAGCGUUAAUCGGAAUUACUGGGCGUAAAGCGUGCGCAGGCGGUUUCGUAAGACAGACGUGAAAUCCCCGGGCUCAACCUGGGAACUGCGUUUGUGACUGCGAGGCUAGAGUAUGGCAGAGGGGGGUGGAAUUCCA
rnacentral:rRNA from 1 species